UUAAGCGACUAAGCGUACACGGUGGAUGCCCUGGCAGUCAGAGGCGAUGAAGGACGUGCUAAUCUGCGAUAAGCGUCGGUAAGGUGAUAUGAACCGUUAUAACCGGCGAUUUCCGAAUGGGGAAACCCAGUGUGAUUCGUCACACUAUCAUUAACUGAAUCCAUAGGUUAAUGAGGCGAACCGGGGGAACUGAAACAUCUAAGUACCCCGAGGAAAAGAAAUCAACCGAGAUUCCCCCAGUAGCGGCGAGCGAACGGGGAGCAGCCCAGAGCCUGAAUCAGUGUGUGUGUUAGUGGAAGCGUCUGGAAAGGCGCGCGAUACAGGGUGACAGCCCCGUACACAAAAAUGCACAUACUGUGAGCUCGAUGAGUAGGGCGGGACACGUGGUAUCCUGUCUGAAUAUGGGGGGACCAUCCUCCAAGGCUAAAUACUCCUGACUGACCGAUAGUGAACCAGUACCGUGAGGGAAAGGCGAAAAGAACCCCGGCGAGGGGAGUGAAAAAGAACCUGAAACCGUGUACGUACAAGCAGUGGGAGCACGCUUAGGCGUGUGACUGCGUACCUUUUGUAUAAUGGGUCAGCGACUUAUAUUCUGUAGCAAGGUUAACCGAAUAGGGGAGCCGAAGGGAAACCGAGUCUUAACUGGGCGUUAAGUUGCAGGGUAUAGACCCGAAACCCGGUGAUCUAGCCAUGGGCAGGUUGAAGGUUGGGUAACACUAACUGGAGGACCGAACCGACUAAUGUUGAAAAAUUAGCGGAUGACUUGUGGCUGGGGGUGAAAGGCCAAUCAAACCGGGAGAUAGCUGGUUCUCCCCGAAAGCUAUUUAGGUAGCGCCUCGUGAAUUCAUCUCCGGGGGUAGAGCACUGUUUCGGCAAGGGGGUCAUCCCGACUUACCAACCCGAUGCAAACUGCGAAUACCGGAGAAUGUUAUCACGGGAGACACACGGCGGGUGCUAACGUCCGUCGUGAAGAGGGAAACAACCCAGACCGCCAGCUAAGGUCCCAAAGUCAUGGUUAAGUGGGAAACGAUGUGGGAAGGCCCAGACAGCCAGGAUGUUGGCUUAGAAGCAGCCAUCAUUUAAAGAAAGCGUAAUAGCUCACUGGUCGAGUCGGCCUGCGCGGAAGAUGUAACGGGGCUAAACCAUGCACCGAAGCUGCGGCAGCGACGCUGAUGCGUUGUUGGGUAGGGGAGCGUUCUGUAAGCCUGCGAAGGUGUGCUGUGAGGCAUGCUGGAGGUAUCAGAAGUGCGAAUGCUGACAUAAGUAACGAUAAAGCGGGUGAAAAGCCCGCUCGCCGGAAGACCAAGGGUUCCUGUCCAACGUUAAUCGGGGCAGGGUGAGUCGACCCCUAAGGCGAGGCCGAAAGGCGUAGUCGAUGGGAAACAGGUUAAUAUUCCUGUACUUGGUGUUACUGCGAAGGGGGGACGGAGAAGGCUAUGUUGGCCGGGCGACGGUUGUCCCGGUUUAAGCGUGUAGGCUGGUUUUCCAGGCAAAUCCGGAAAAUCAAGGCUGAGGCGUGAUGACGAGGCACUACGGUGCUGAAGCAACAAAUGCCCUGCUUCCAGGAAAAGCCUCUAAGCAUCAGGUAACAUCAAAUCGUACCCCAAACCGACACAGGUGGUCAGGUAGAGAAUACCAAGGCGCUUGAGAGAACUCGGGUGAAGGAACUAGGCAAAAUGGUGCCGUAACUUCGGGAGAAGGCACGCUGAUAUGUAGGUGAAGUCCCUCGCGGAUGGAGCUGAAAUCAGUCGAAGAUACCAGCUGGCUGCAACUGUUUAUUAAAAACACAGCACUGUGCAAACACGAAAGUGGACGUAUACGGUGUGACGCCUGCCCGGUGCCGGAAGGUUAAUUGAUGGGGUCAGCGCAAGCGAAGCUCUUGAUCGAAGCCCCGGUAAACGGCGGCCGUAACUAUAACGGUCCUAAGGUAGCGAAAUUCCUUGUCGGGUAAGUUCCGACCUGCACGAAUGGCGUAAUGAUGGCCAGGCUGUCUCCACCCGAGACUCAGUGAAAUUGAACUCGCUGUGAAGAUGCAGUGUACCCGCGGCAAGACGGAAAGACCCCGUGAACCUUUACUAUAGCUUGACACUGAACAUUGAGCCUUGAUGUGUAGGAUAGGUGGGAGGCUUUGAAGUGUGGACGCCAGUCUGCAUGGAGCCGACCUUGAAAUACCACCCUUUAAUGUUUGAUGUUCUAACGUUGACCCGUGAUCCGGGUUGCGGACAGUGUCUGGUGGGUAGUUUGACUGGGGCGGUCUCCUCCUAAAGAGUAACGGAGGAGCACGAAGGUUGGCUAAUCCUGGUCGGACAUCAGGAGGUUAGUGCAAUGGCAUAAGCCAGCUUGACUGCGAGCGUGACGGCGCGAGCAGGUGCGAAAGCAGGUCAUAGUGAUCCGGUGGUUCUGAAUGGAAGGGCCAUCGCUCAACGGAUAAAAGGUACUCCGGGGAUAACAGGCUGAUACCGCCCAAGAGUUCAUAUCGACGGCGGUGUUUGGCACCUCGAUGUCGGCUCAUCACAUCCUGGGGCUGAAGUAGGUCCCAAGGGUAUGGCUGUUCGCCAUUUAAAGUGGUACGCGAGCUGGGUUUAGAACGUCGUGAGACAGUUCGGUCCCUAUCUGCCGUGGGCGCUGGAGAAUUGAGGGGGGCUGCUCCUAGUACGAGAGGACCGGAGUGGACGCAUCACUGGUGUUCGGGUUGUCAUGCCAAUGGCACUGCCCGGUAGCUAAAUGCGGAAGAGAUAAGUGCUGAAAGCAUCUAAGCACGAAACUUGCCCCGAGAUGAGUUCUCCCUGACUCCUUGAGAGUCCUGAAGGAACGUUGAAGACGACGACGUUGAUAGGCCGGGUGUGUAAGCGCAGCGAUGCGUUGAGCUAACCGGUACUAAUGAACCGUGAGGCUUAACCUU
rnacentral:rRNA from 2 species